CAGCAGCCGCGGUAAUACGUAGGGUGCAAGCGUUAAUCGGAAUUACUGGGCGUAAAGCGUGCGUAGGCGGUGAGUUAAGUCUGUUGUGAAAUCCCCGGGCUCAACCUGGGAAUGGCAAUGGAUACUGGCAAGCUAGAGUGUGUCAGAGGAUGGUGGAAUUCCCGGUGUAGCGGUGAAAUGCGUAGAGAUCGGGAGGAACAUCAGUGGCGAAGGCGGCCAUCUGGGACAACACUGACGCUGAGGCACGAAAGCGUGGGGAGCAAACAGGAUUAGAUACCCGUGUAGUCCCUGUCUCUUAUAC
rnacentral:rRNA from 1 species